GAUGAACGCUGGCGGCGUGCCUAAUACAUGCAAGUCGAGCGAACGGACGAGGAGCUUGCUUCUCUGAUGUUAGCGGCGGACGGGUGAGUAACACGUGGAUAACCUACCUAUACGACUGGGAUCACUUCGGGAAACCGUAGCUAAUACCGGAUAAUAUUUUGAACCGCAUGGUUCAAAAGUGAACGACGGUCUUGCUGUCACUUAUAGAUGGAUCCGCGCUGCAUUAGCUAGUUGGUAAGGUAACGGCUUACCAAGGCAACGAUGCAUAGCCGACCUGAGAGGGUGAUCGGCCACACUGGAACUGAGACACGGUCCAGACUCCUACGGGAGGCAGCAGUAGGGAAUCUUGCGCAAUGGGCGAAAGCCUGACGGAGCAACGCCGCGUGAGGGAAGAAGGUCUUCGGAUUGUAAAACUCUGUUAUUAGGGAAGAACAGAUGUGUAAGUAACUGUGGACAUCUUGACGGUACCUAAUCAGAAAGCCACGGCUAACUACGUG
rnacentral:rRNA from 1 species